UGCAGUCGAGCGGACCAAUUGGAGCUUGCUCAUUGGUUUAACGGCGGACGGGUGAAUAACACGUGGGCAACCUGCCCUGCAGAUCGGGAUAACUCCGGGAAACCGGUGCUAAUACCGAAUAAUUUGCGGCCUCUCCUGAAGCUGCCCGGAAAGACGGUUUCCGCUGGCACUGCAGGAUGGGCCCCCGGCGCAUUAACUAAUUGGUGGGGUAAUGGCCCACCAAGGCCACCAUGCCUAACCCAACUGAAAGGGUGGUCGGCCCCCCUGGGACUGAAACACCGCCCAAACUCCUACGGGAGGCAGCAGUAAGGAAUCUUCCGCAAUGGACGCAAGUCUGACGGAACAACCCCCCGUGAGUGACCAAAGUUUUCCGAACCUAAAACUCUGUUGUGAGGGAAAAACACCUACCAAGUAACUACUGGUACCUUGACGGUACCUCCCCAAAAAGCCCCGGCUAACUACCUGCCAGCAGCCGCGGUAAUACCUAAGUGGCAAGCGUUGUCCGGAAUUAUUGGGCGUAAAGCGCGCGCAGGCGGUCCUUUAAGUCUGAAGUGAAAGCCCACGGCUCACCGUGGAAGGCAUUGGAAACUGGAGGACUUGAGUGCAGAAAGAAGAAAGUGGAAUUCCAUGUGUAGCGGUGAAAUGCUAAAGAUGUGGAGGAACACAGUGGCGAAGCACUUUCUGGUCUGUACUGACGUGAAGCCCGAAACGUGGGAGCAACAAGAUUAAUAACCUGGUAUCCACGCGUAAACAUGAUGCUAAUGUUAGGGGUUCCCCCCUUAUGCUGCACUAAGCAUUAACACUCCGCUGGGAUACGGCGCAAGCUGAACUCAAGGAAUGACGGGGCCGCACAGCGGGGAGCUGUGGUUAAUCGAGCACGCGAGAACUUACAGGUCUGACUCCCCUGCCGCUAAGAUAAGCUUCCUCGGGACGCGUGAAGUGUGCUGUUGCUCACUCGUCUGGAUUUGGUAAUCCGACAAGCACCUGACUAUGCACAUCAUGGCACUAGGAUGCGGGAACGAGAAGGGGUAACCAUCCUGCCUAACUGGAACCGUCAUGAUGGGCACUCUAAGGUGACUGCCGGUGACAAACCGGAGGAAGGUGGGGAUGACGUCAAAUCAUCAUGCCCCUUAUGACCUGGGCUACACACGUGCUACAAUGGACGGUACAAAGGGCAGCCAACCCGCGAGGGGGAGCCAAUCCCAGAAAACCGUUCUCAGUUCGGAUUGCAGGCUGCAACUCGCCUGCAUGAAGCCGGAAUCGCUAGUAAUCG
rnacentral:rRNA from 1 species